rnacentral:rRNA from 1 species
AUUGAACGCUGGCGGCAUGCCUUACACAUGCAAGUCGAACGGUAACAGGUCUUCGGAUGCUGACGAGUGGCGAACGGGUGAGUAAUACAUCGGAACGUGCCCGAUCGUGGGGGAUAACGAGGCGAAAGCUUUGCUAAUACCGCAUACGAUCUACGGAUGAAAGCGGGGGAUCUUCGGACCUCGCGCGGACGGAGCGGCCGAUGGCAGAUUAGGUAGUUGGUGGGAUAAAAGCUUACCAAGCCGACGAUCUGUAGCUGGUCUGAGAGGAUGAUCAGCCACACUGGGACUGAGACACGGCCCAGACUCCUACGGGAGGAAGCAGUGGGGAAUUUUGGACAAUGGGCGAAAGCCUGAUCCAGCCAUGCCGCGUGCAGGAUGAGGGCCUUUGGGUUGUAAACUGCUUUUGUACGGAACGAAAAGCCUCUUUCUAAUAAAGAGGGGUCAUGACGGUACCGUAAGAAUAAGCACCGGCUAACUACGUG